rnacentral:rRNA from 1 species
GAUGAACGCUGGCGGCGUGCCUAAUACAUGCAAGUCGAGCGAACGGACGAGAAGCUUGCUUCUCUGAUGUUAGCGGCGGACGGGUGAGUAACACGUGGAUAACCUACCUAUAAGACUGGGAUAACUUCGGGAAACCGGAGCUAAUACCGGAUAAUAUUUUGAACCGCAUGGUUCAAAAGUGAAAGACGGUCUUGCUGUCACUUAUAGAUGGAUCCGCGCUGCAUUAGCUAGUUGGUAAGGUAACGGCUUACCAAGGCAACGAUGCAUAGCCGACCUGAGAGGGUGAUCGGCCAAACUGGAACUGAGACACGGUCCAGACUCCUACGGGAGGCAGCAGUAGGGAAUCUUCCGCAAUGGGCGAAAGCCUGACGGAGCAACGCCGCGUGAGUGAUGAAGGUCUUCGGAUCGUAAAACUCUGUUAUUAGGGAAGAACAUAUGUGUAAGUAACUGUGCACAUCUUGACGGUACCUAAUCAGAAAGCCACGGCUAACUACGU